rnacentral:rRNA from 1 species
UGCGGUUAUACAAAAGUUAAAUUUAAUUUUUUUAGGAUUUAAUAAAUAAAUAAUUUUGUAAAUAAAUUAAAUUUAAAAUUAUAAAGUGAAAUUUUAAUUUAAAUAAAAUUUAUUUAUUUUUAUGAUAUUAAUAAAUUUUAUAAAAAACUAGGAUUAGAUACCCUAUUAUAAAAAUUUAAAUAUAAUAAAUCUUAAAAUAGUAUAUAAUUUUUUAUAGAAACUUAAAUAAUUUGGCGGUAUUUUAGUUCAUUUAGAGGAAUCUGUCUAAUAAUUGAUAAUCCACGAUUAAAUUUACUUAAUUUUUAAUUUUGUAUAUCGUUGUUAAAAAAAUAUUUUUAAAUAAUUAUAAUAUUUUAAAAUUUUAAUAUAAAUUUAAAUCAGAUCAAGAUGCAGAUUAUAGUUAAGAAUAUGAUGGAUUACAAUAAAUUUUAUUUAUUUUGAAUAUUAAUUUGUAAUAAAUUAAUUGAAAUUGGAUUUAAAUGUAAUUUUAUUAAUUUUGUUAAAAUGAUUAAAAAUUAAAAUAUGUACAUAUUGCCCGUCGCUUUCAUUAAUAAAUUGAAAUAAGUCGUAACAAAGUAGAGGUACUGGAAAGUGUUUCUAGAAAGAU